UGGUAACGACCUCACCCUUGGUUUGGUAGAGCUGUUUGUGUCUAUGCCAGAAGGGGAACAUGGAUCUGGUUUUAAAAAUAAAUAAAUCACUCAAUUCAUACUGCAUCUUCAUGUUUGGCAGUAAUUUAUUUCAAACUGCUCGUCAAAUUUGGGAACACAUGACCCUGGAACAGUAAUGUGUAUCACACAUCACCAUCUUGUUAGCC
rnacentral:lncRNA from 1 species